GACGAACGCUGGCGGCGUGCUUAACACAUGCAAGUCGAGCGGAAAGGCCCUUUCGGGGGUACUCGAGCGGCGAACGGGUGAGUAACACGUGAGUAAUCUGCCCUGGACUCUGGGAUAGCCACCGGAAACGGUGAUUAAUACCGGAUAUGACACCUUGCUGCAUGGUGGGGUGUGGAAAGUUUUUUCGGUCCAGGAUGUGCUCGCGGCCUAUCAGCUUGUUGGUGAGGUAAUGGCUCACUAAGGCUUUGACGGGUAGCCGGCCUGAGAGGGUGGCCGGUCACACUGGGACUGAGACACGGCCCAGACUCCUACGGGAGGCAGCAGUGGGGUAUAUUGGACAAGGGGCGGAAGCCUGAGCCAGCAACGCCGCGUGAGGGAUGACGGCCUUCGGGUUGUAAACCUCUUUCAGUACCGACGAAGCGUGAGUGACGGUAGGUACAGAAGAAGGACCGGCCAACUACGUGCCAGCCGCCGCAGUAACAC
rnacentral:rRNA from 1 species